GACUGUUAUGUUAGAUUUGCGAUUGAUAAGCUCAAAGUUACUCUCAUCACUUCACAUAAUGUUUUCCCAUUGCUCUAUUGUCAAAUACCUUCUUUCACGACACCAUUUUAGUCUCCUUUGUUUAUCAUAUGGACGUAGAAGCGGUUUCUUCAAAGCAGUGUAGACUCCAAUCUUGUAUUUGAUAAGUAUUCGGCGGACUAUGCUUUGAUUUCGCGUUGUAUUGAAUUCUGUGGUCAAUUCUUUGUAACUAAUUCUUGGAUUAGCUCUGACAGCUCUAAAACGAAAACUGUCGUCCAUUCUGGUCGUUGGCAAGGGUCUACCUGGCCUCGUUUUCUCGCUGGCACCACCAGUGUGAAGAAAGUUUUGUUUCGUUCUCCGAACGCAUUUCUCAGAAAAUCCAAUUAACUUGGCAAUUUCUCUAUUACUUUUGGUUCCUUCUUUGAUGUACCUUGAGUGAUACGUCUUUCGCCCAUUUUUCGCGUCUUUUUAAUGAAAAACUAACAACUUUUGUUUAUUUAUUAAAUAAUGAUUAACUAAUUCCAGGGAUAACUUUGUUGUAUCAACAUGUAAACUAAACAACAAUCAUGAUGUUUCUCAUGACUUGAUUAGAUUGUAUCCAGAACAUCGUUGUCCAUCAGGAAAGCUGGCUGACUACCUUGAUAAUAUGUUAUCCGUUAAUGGAAAUGCUAUUGUUACACAAGUGAUACACAGAGAAGGUUUUGCAGUACGUGUUAAAGAUAUCCAUAAUCGAAUGUAACUCCUUGUAAAAUCAGGUCUGUAUAUUAAGUUUAGUCUUUAAGUAUUACUAUUCCAUUUUCAAUGUUUUAUAUUUAAAAUUGUUUGGAUCAUUAGGUUCAACACUGACUGCAAGGCUGUGAAAUACACUUUCAUUACCAAAUGUUUAUUUCCGGCUCUUAGAAACAGAUGAUCAUCAGUUUUAAGGCUCGUUUUUCCAAACUGAUAGUCAAAGAACAUUAUUCUCCAAAUAUGGAGAAAUGAUUCAGAUGGAUGCCACAUAUAAGAGAAAGACUGUGAUGGUGUUGGACAGCCAAUUGGAUUUGCCAUUAUGACAAGUGAAGAUUAAAUUUACAUUGAUCAGUUUCUGGAAUAUUUUGAAGAAUGCAAUGAUUUAUUACAAACGCAAUGUGUUGCAGAAAUUAUUAUACACAAGAGAUGCUAAAUGCCAAAACUGAAUCAGAGUUUGAUUUAGCCAUCAAUAGUUUAAAACAAGUACCAUGUUUUUACAACUAUAAUGUUGAAAGUUGUAUUCCAUAACAGCUUUUGGUCGCAAAUCCAUCCAUCACCUUAGCAAUCAACAAAUAAUUGUAUAGAGAGCUUCCAUUCUACUUUAAAGAAAUUUAUUGCUUCUUCAAGAAUUAACAUUGAUUUAUUAGUGAAAAAUUUACUUGAGAUGUCAUCUGUCAGAUCAAUGGAAUCUGCUCAUCACGAUUUUAAAAAUACAUUGAUGAAUGCUCUCUACAAAUCUUCUCCUUUAGUAGAGAAGUAUUUUAAGAUAUAUGCUAUUCUUUUAAUUUAUUGCAAAAUGAGGUAGAAAUGGCCUAUAAAUGGCCACCAUGGGUACACUGUUAACAAAGUAAUUUCACUCAUUAACUAGUCAUUAAUUUAUACAUUAUGUUUCUUAUU